rnacentral:rRNA from 1 species
GUGUCAGCCGCCGCGGUAAUACGGAGGGUGCAAGCGUUAUCCGGAUUUACUGGGUUUAAAGGGUGCGUAGGUGGAAUUAUAAGUCAGUGGUGAAAGCCUCGAGCUCAACUCGUGAAUUGCCAUUGAUACUGUUUUUCUUGAGUACGAUUGAGGUGAGUAGAAUAUGUCAUGUAGUGGUGAAAUACUUAGAUAUGACAUAGAAUACCGAUUGCGAAGGCAGCUCACUAAAUCGUAACUGACGCUGAGGCACGAAAGCGUGGGGAUCAAACAGGAUUAGAAACCCGUGUAGUCC